rnacentral:rRNA from 1 species
UACGAAGGGGGCUAGCGUUGCUCGGAAUUACUGGGCGUAAAGGGCGCGUAGGCGGACAGUUAAGUCAGAGGUGAAAGCCCAGGGCUCAACCUUGGAAUUGCCUUUGAUACUGGCUGUCUUGAGUACGGGAGAGGUGUGUGGAACUCCGAGUGUAGAGGUGAAAUUCGUAGAUAUUCGGAAGAACACCAGUGGCGAAGGCGACACACUGGCCCGUUACUGACGCUGAGGCGCGAAAGCGUGGGGAGCAAACAGG